AAAAGUCAAAUUUGUAGGGAGUUGGAACGUUUGCCUAUGUUUGCCGCUAGGGGGCACUGUUCCGGCUGCAUACAAAUUUCAGGUA
rnacentral:pre_miRNA from 1 species